UACGUAGGGGGCAAGCGUUGUCCGGAUUUAUUGGGCGUAAAGAGCGUGUAGGCGGUCAGGUAGGUCCGUUGUGAAAACUCGAGGCUCAACCUCGAGACGCCGAUGGAAACCAUCUGACUAGAGUCCGGAAGAGGAGAGUGGAAUUCCUGGUGUAGCGGUGAAAUGCGCAGAUAUCAGGAGGAACACCGAUGGCGAAGGCAGGUCACUGGGCCGCAACUGACGCUGAGGAGCGAAAGCAUGGGGAGCGAACAGG
rnacentral:rRNA from 1 species